GGAACUCACGUGCAUCAGCACAAGACGCGGCAGCAUAGAUACACAGUAAAGUAAUAGGCCAGAGAGGAAGAGGGUAUACGGCUGAGGGUUAGAGAAGGAGGCGGCAGGGAGAGGAAGCGGAGAGGGGGGCGGAAGGCGGCGGAGGAGGAAGAUGUGGCGGCGGCGGCGGCGAGGAAGUGGGAGGUGGCCAUGGGGAAGCGGGGGAAGAGGAGACGGCCACUAGCUGCUUGGAGUGGACAGUGGGAAGUGGGAGGGGGAGGAUAACGCCGGCGCAAUUCGUGCCUGUUGGCCGGCUUUGCCCGCCC
rnacentral:lncRNA from 1 species